AUGCAAGGGAUACUGUAUGUUACAUCAUGUCUGCUUCCAUCAUUCCAUAUUUUUCGACUCAUUAACCAUUGUUUCCACAGGGAAUUUCAUGUAAAGGAGUUGGCUGAAGUGAGAAUUGAUUUUGAACUGAAAGUUCAGGCACUACAGGAAAAGAUUGUAGAGGUGGAUGGUGAGAUGGAGGAGGGCCAGAUAGUGAAUGCCAUCCGCCUGGAGUCUAUUGCUAAGAUGUCUGACAGAUUUAAAGCUCAAAGGAAAGAGGAGGACGACGUCAUGGCUGAACACCUCAAUGUCUCAAGACGCUUAGAAAAGUCCAGACUUAGACUUGAGGAGCGCAUUGCAUCGAUCGCUAAACAUAAAAUUGAGAUCAGAGAAAUGGAUGAAGAGAUCAAACAACUCCAUGAAACCAAUAUAGUUAAUGCAGACCUGUUUGAAAGAAAUGUGGAUGAACUGCAUGGACAGCUCAAUAAAGAAAAGAAGAACAUAGCAAUCUUUGAAGUUGAAAAAGAAGUACUGUGCCAGUCUCUGGAGAAUCUAAAAAAAGAUCAAGUACAGCAUGUGAAAGAGGUCAACUCUAAUAUCGGUUUAACCAGGAGGAGAUAUGAGGAACUGCUUGAAGAGGAGAAGAAACUCAGAGAGCAUGUAUUCAUGGGCGCGUUGAUUGAACGUCUCAGUAACAAGAUUGUUAAGGCAGAGGAGGGGAAUGAACAGAUGACCAUUUCCUACAAUGCCAAGAUCCAACAGUUCAUCACUGAAGCGGAGUCAGUGAUACAGAGCCGACUGGAGAAGGAGGAGGACCUGAAGGGUAAAGAGUCUAUCUUGGAGGAGGUGGAGGCCCAGUUUGAUAUUGACCAGUCCAGGCACCAAAAACUAAAAAACCAUACCUCAGAGUUAAAGAGUAAGAAUAAUCAUCUGGAGCUCGUCAUCCAGGAUAUGAAAGAGAGCACUAGUACUCUUCUCAAACCAAAGGAGGACAUGAAGAGGAGUCUAGAGGGUUUGCGUGAGAAACACCUGGAGCUGCUGACGUCUCACACUGCAGACAUCAUUGCCACGGAGAAGAGCAUCUAUGACAACGGGAUGAUGCUGGAGCAGGUCAAUAUGGAGAACAGUAGACUGCAUGUGCGUAUUGAACAAAUGAAGGAGGACAUAUGGAACACCAGGAAAGACCAGGAAAGACACACAAAGGAGAUUGGGUGGCUGAAAGAGGAGGUUCAUUCUCUAUUUGAGAGCCUGCUUGAUGCUUGGGCAGAGGACACUGUGGUGACUGAGGAAUCUUCAGAGAGAGACCACAAGAUUCUGGAGGCUAUCUACAGACUCAUGACCAAGAUCCACGACAGGAAGUUCCAACUGGGGGAUAUCAACAGUAGACUAGAGGAGGAACUGAAGGGCAUGAGUUCCCUGUUAGCCAGUAAUAAAUCAAACAUUGCACUUAAAGAACAGGGCAACUAA
rnacentral:lncRNA from 1 species